AAAUUGAAGAGUUUGAUCAUGGCUCAGAUUGAACGCUGGCGGCAGGCCUAACACAUGCAAGUCGAGCGGUAGCACAGAGAGCUUGCUCUCGGGUGACGAGCGGCGGACGGGUGAGUAAUGUCUGGGAAACUGCCUGAUGGAGGGGGAUAACUACUGGAAACGGUAGCUAAUACCGCAUAAUGUCGCAAGACCAAAGUGGGGGACCUUCGGGCCUCAUGCCAUCAGAUGUGCCCAGAUGGGAUUAGCUAGUAGGUGGGGUAACGGCUCACCUAGGCGACGAUCCCUAGCUGGUCUGAGAGGAUGACCAGCCACACUGGAACUGAGACACGGUCCAGACUCCUACGGGAGGCAGCAGUGGGGAAUAUUGCACAAUGGGCGCAAGCCUGAUGCAGCCAUGCCGCGUGUGUGAAGAAGGCCUUCGGGUUGUAAAGCACUUUCAGCGGGGAGGAAGGCGGUGAGGUUAAUAACCUCAUCGAUUGACGUUACCCGCAGAAGAAGCACCGGCUAACUCCGUGCCAGCAGCCGCGGUAAUACGGAGGGUGCAAGCGUUAAUCGGAAUUACUGGGCGUAAAGCGCACGCAGGCGGUCUGUCAAGUCGGAUGUGAAAUCCCCGGGCUCAACCUGGGAACUGCAUUCGAAACUGGCAGGCUAGAGUCUUGUAGAGGGGGGUAGAAUUCCAGGUGUAGCGGUGAAAUGCGUAGAGAUCUGGAGGAAUACCGGUGGCGAAGGCGGCCCCCUGGACAAAGACUGACGCUCAGGUGCGAAAGCGUGGGGAGCAAACAGGAUUAGAUACCCUGGUAGUCCACGCCGUAAACGAUGUCGAUUUGGAGGUUGUGCCCUUGAGGCGUGGCUUCCGGAGCUAACGCGUUAAAUCGACCGCCUGGGGAGUACGGCCGCAAGGUUAAAACUCAAAUGAAUUGACGGGGGCCCGCACAAGCGGUGGAGCAUGUGGUUUAAUUCGAUGCAACGCGAAGAACCUUACCUGGUCUUGACAUCCACAGAACUUUCCAGAGAUGGAUUGGUGCCUUCGGGAACUGUGAGACAGGUGCUGCAUGGCUGUCGUCAGCUCGUGUUGUGAAAUGUUGGGUUAAGUCCCGCAACGAGCGCAACCCUUAUCCUUUGUUGCCAGCGGUCCGGCCGGGAACUCAAAGGAGACUGCCAGUGAUAAACUGGAGGAAGGUGGGGAUGACGUCAAGUCAUCAUGGCCCUUACGACCAGGGCUACACACGUGCUACAAUGGCAUAUACAAAGAGAAGCGACCUCGCGAGAGCAAGCGGACCUCAUAAAGUAUGUCGUAGUCCGGAUUGAGUCUGCAACUCGACUCCAUGAAGUCGGAAUCGCUAGUAAUCGUAGAUCAGAAUGCUACGGUGAAUACGUUCCCGGGCCUUGUACACACCGCCCGUCACACCAUGGGAGUGGGUUGCAAAAGAAGUAGGUAGCUUAACCUUCGGGAGGGCGCUUACCACUUUGUGAUUCAUGACUGGGGUGAAGUCGUAACAAGGUAACCGUAGGGGAACCUGCGGUUGGAUCACCUCCUUACCUUAAAGAA
rnacentral:rRNA from 1 species